GUGAACGGCCAGACGUCGUUCGACUCCACCACGGCCUGAUCGCCGAAGUGGUCGCCGUCACCGAGUACUUCGAGGAUGAUCGGAUCGCCGUACUUGCCCGUGCCCAGCUUGUUGGCCUUGCCGUGCGCCAGCAGGAACACGUGCUCGGCGGGCUUGCCCGCCUCGACGAUCAGAUCUCCGGUCUUGAACUCGCGCUGCACGAACUGGCGUGCCAGGGCGUCCAGCGUCAACGCCUCGGAGUCCAGGCCGCGCAGCAGCGGCAGCUUGAGCAGCUCCUGGGGGAUGAUCUCCACCUUGGCGCCGAUGUUGCUGAAGUUCAGCCGGUCGUCCCCCACGGUAUAGGACAGGCGCCGGUUGACGCGGUACGUGCCACCGGACACCUGGACCCAGGGCAGCAUCCGCAGCAGCCACCGAGGGGAGAUCCCCUGCAUCUGUGGCUGCGUCUUCGUCGUCGUGGUCAGCUGCCGGGCGCCAGCGGUGCUGAGACUCAGCAGCUGUUCAUCGG
rnacentral:antisense_RNA from 1 species